rnacentral:lncRNA from 1 species
GAAAUGCCCAGUUGGGUGGCUCUGUGGCUCAGGGUGCUGGUAGGGUUCCUGAUUUAUUUUGGGGUUGGGUUGGUGGGGAAAUCGGGGGCAGUUGCCCACUUAUCCUCAUAAGUGGGGCUGUUCUAUGAGUCUGGAGACCCUCUUGAUGGUUAGAGGGUGGGUAACAUUAGAAACUAAUGGCAGAGGGGGGGUUAACACUCUUGAUACUGAUAAGAAGCUUCUGUCCUGGUAAUGGUAACCUAUUCCAGGAACCCAGAGGUCUUGGUCUUGCCUCCCCUCUGUGGUCAGUGCUGGGUUUCCCCAUCAGGCAGUGUGGGCACAGUGCCCAGGGCCUAUGACCUUGGGGUUUAUGAAGGGGUGGGGAAAAAUGAGCUGAAAGACAUGCUUGUGAUUGACCUGAGGAGCUACAAAUCAAUCAUGUGCUCUCUAGUGGCUGUUCUAGAAACUAGAAGUGAUGGUUCCUUAACUUGCUCAAUCCGUCCUGUGGUCUAGUAUUAGGAUGGUUUAAAGGGCAUCAUGUCAACAAGUGUUGACCCCUCUUCUUGCACAUUUGAGUGAAAGUGCCUAGGGCCCAUGAACACCACAAUCCGGCCCGGUCAGUGGUCCUGCUGUACUUUAAGCCCCCCUCCCAGUGCCGGCUCUCUUCCAGGAGCUCGGGAUGGUCCCAGCGGAGGUGCUGUGGGGGCUGGUCUGCACGACCGAGAGCCACAACAGCAGCAGCCCCAGGCCAGGCAGAGCUCCAGCAUCCGGCCCCUGGUCUCCUGUGGCAAGAAGGGCCUGAUGAUCCGCUUCUCUGUGAGGAGGUACAGCGCCAUCUACCUGCUGAGAGGGAACAUGAGACCUCUCCCGGUCACCAGCCUGCCGAAGAGCUGUGGGCACAAGGUGUGGACGACCGGCACCUGGGUGGUCCUGGUGGCCUCCUACCGGGGCUGCUACAUCCGAGCCUGGGUGAGGCUCCGCUGGGGCUGGGCUGGGCAGCAGGGGGCUGGGAUAGGUGUGGACGUGCUGGAGUCCUGCAGUCGUUUAUUCUGGCUGACCAACUGCUCCUAACUGCAGUCUGGUAGAGCAUUACUUUAAGCUCCACUGUAAGGUGGAUGGAGGCUUUAGAUCUGAGACCCUCAGUAACUUGCCUGUGAC